rnacentral:rRNA from 1 species
GGCGAACGGGUGAGUAACACGUGGGCAAUCUGCCCUUCACUCUGGGACAAGCCCUGGAAACGGGGUCUAAUACCGGAUAACACUCUGUCCCGCAUGGGACGGGGUUAAAAGCUCCGGCGGUGAAGGAUGAGCCCGCGGCCUAUCAGCUUGUUGGUGGGGUAAUGGCCUACCAAGGCGACGACGGGUAGCCGGCCUGAGAGGGCGACCGGCCACACUGGGACUGAGACACGGCCCAGACUCCUACGGGAGGCAGCAGUGGGGAAUAUUGCACAAUGGGCGAAAGCCUGAUGCAGCGACGCCGCGUGAGGGAUGACGGCCUUCGGGUUGUAAACCUCUUUCAGCAGGGAAGAAGCGAAAGUGACGGUACCUGCAGAAGAAGCGCCGGCUAACUACGUGCCAGCAGCCGCGGUAAUACGUAGGGCGCAAGCGUUGUCCGGAAUUAUUGGGCGUAAAGAGCUCGUAGGCGGCUUGUCACGUCGGAUGUGAAAGCCCGGGGCUUAACCCCGGGUCUGCAUUCGAUACGGGCUAGCUAGAGUGUGGUAGGGGAGAUCGGAAUUCCUGGUGUAGCGGUGAAAUGCGCAGAUAUCAGGAGGAACACCGGUGGCGAAGGCGGAUCUCUGGGCCAUUACUGACGCUGAGGAGCGAAAGCGUGGGGAGCGAACAGGAUUAGAUACCCUGGUAGUCCACGCCGUAAACGUUGGGAACUAGGUGUUGGCGACAUUCCACGUCGUCGGUGCCGCAGCUAACGCAUUAAGUUCCCCGCCUGGGGAGUACGGCCGCAAGGCUAAAACUCAAAGGAAUUGACAGGGGCCCGCACAAGCAGCGGAGCAUGUGGCUUAAUUCGACGCAACGCGAAGAACCUUACCAAGGCUUGACAUAUACCGGGAAAGCAUCAGAGAUGGUGCCCCCCUUG